UGCCCGCGCCUGGGGGGACCCUACGCCUGUGUCCGGAGGAGGCCGGCGUCCAGCAGAUGCUCGCGGGGGGGUGGGAAGUGGGGGAGGGGGCGGGAGAGAGGCGGGGAGGAGAAAACCCACAACAAAACUAGCGUCGCGGAGCGCCCUGCUUGACUUGAAUGGAAGGAGCCCGAGCCCGCGGAGCGCAGCUGAGACUAGGGGAGCGCGUUCGGCCUGCGGGGCGCGGCACGGCGCCGGGGCGCAGCAGGUUCCGUCAGCCCUGGCGCCCAGGUGCAUCUGACUUGGCGCCCCCUGCAGGCACUAUGGCCCAGAGCUGGGCGCUGCUGCUCCUGCUGCUGCUGCCGCCACAGCUGCACCUGGGACCUGUGCUUGCCGCAAGGGCCCCAGGAUUUGGCCGAAGCGGCAGCCACAGCCUGAGUCCCGAAGAGAACGAAUUUGCAGAGGAGGAGCCGGUGCUGGUCCUGAGCCCUGAGGAGCCCGUGCCUGGCCCAGCUGCGGUCAGUUGCCCUCGAGAAUGUGCCUGUUCCCAGGAGGGCGUCGUGGACUGUGGCGGCAUCGACCUGCGUGAGUUCCCCGGGGACCUGCCUGAACACACCAACCACCUGUCCCUGCAGAACAACCAGCUGGAAAAGAUCUACACUGAGGAGCUCUCCCGGCUGCACCGGCUGGAGACGCUGAACCUGCAAAACAACCGCCUGACUUCCCGAGGGCUCCCAGAGAAGGCGUUUGAGCAUCUGACCAACCUCAAUUACCUGUACUUGGCCAAUAACAAGCUGACCUUGGCACCCCGCUUCCUGCCAAACGCCCUGAUCAGUGUGGACUUUGCUGCCAACUAUCUCACCAAGAUCUAUGGGCUCACCUUUGGCCAGAAGCCAAACUUGAGGUCUGUGUACCUGCACAACAACAAGCUGGCGGACGCCGGGCUGCCGGACAACAUGUUCAACGGCUCCGGCAGCGUCGAGGUCCUCAUCCUGUCCAGCAACUUCCUGCGCCACGUGCCCAAGCACCUGCCGCCUGCCCUGUACAAGCUGCACCUCAAGAACAACAAGCUGGAGAAGAUCCCCCCGGGGGCCUUCAGUGAGCUGAGCAGCCUGCGCGAGCUGUACCUGCAGAACAACUACCUGACCGACGAGGGCCUGGACAACGAGACCUUCUGGAAGCUCUCCAGCCUGGAGUACCUGGAUCUGUCCAGCAACAACCUGUCUCGGGUCCCGGCAGGGCUGCCACGCAGCCUGGUGCUGCUGCACUUGGAGAAGAACGCCAUCCGGAGUGUGGACGCGGAUGUGCUGACCCCCAUCCGCAGCCUGGAGUACCUGCUGCUGCACAGCAACCAGCUGCGGGCGCAGGGCAUCCACCCGCUGGCCUUCCAGGGCCUCAAGCGGCUGCACACAGUGCACCUGUACAACAACGCGCUGGAGCGCGUGCCCAGCGGCCUGCCUCGCCGCGUGCGCACCCUCAUGAUCCUGCACAACCAGAUCACAGGCAUUGGCCGUGAAGACUUCGCCACCACCUACUUCCUGGAGGAGCUCAACCUCAGCUACAACCGCAUCACCAGCCCGCAGGUGCACCGCGACGCCUUCCGCAAGCUGCGCCUGCUGCGCUCACUGGACCUGUCGGGCAACCGGCUGCACACGCUGCCACCUGGGCUGCCUCGCAAUGUGCAUGUACUGAAGGUCAAGCGCAACGAGCUGGCCGCCCUGGCACGAGGGGCGCUGGCGGGCAUGGCCCAGCUGCGUGAGCUGUACCUCACCAGCAACCGACUGCGCAGCCGGGCCCUGGGCCCCCGCGCCUGGGUGGACCUCGCCGGUCUGCAGGUGGGAGUCCCUGACUCCCUUGGUCGCCCCUGCAGCUGCUGGACAUCGCCGGGAAUCAGCUCACAGAGAUCCCUCAGGGGCUCCCCGAGUCACUUGAGUACCUGUACCUGCAGAACAACAAGAUUAACUCGGUGCCCGCCAAUGCCUUCGACUCCACACCCAACCUCAAGGGGAUCUUUCUCAGGUUUAACAAGCUGGCCGUGGGCUCUGUGGUGGACAGCGCCUUCCGGAGGCUGAAACACCUGCAGGUCUUAGACAUUGAAGGCAACUUGGAGUUUGGUGAUGUUUCCAAGGACCGUGGCCGAUUGAGGAAGGAAGAGGAGGAGGAGGAAGAGGAGGAAGAGGAAGAGGAAACAAGAUAGUGACAAGGUGACGCAGAUCUGACCUAGGACGAUGGACCGCUGGACUCCUUGCUGCAGCGCACGCCUGUGCCCGAGAGCCCCCCACUCUGCCGUGCUCACAUGGAUACACCCAGCUGCAAGCAUGGGGCAUCCCGCACGAUGCAGGCCGACCCAAUCUCAUAUUCCCACCCCUCCCACAGCAUGUCCCACGGCCAGACGUGUGCAGACAGCACAUCACACCCUCACACGCCCAGCUUAGCCACACAGCCAGUUACACAUUGCCCUCCAAACCACUAGUCUCUGCCCCACACCCACUACUGCUGCCAUGCCCUCUCAAUCAUUCAGGGAAGGGUCUACCCCUGCCCUGGCACACACAGGCACCCGCUGCCUCCUGCUGCUGACGUGUAUGCGUGUGCUACACCACACACACACACACACACACAAUCAUGUGCAAACAGCCCUCCAAAGCCUGUGCCACAGACAGCUCUUGUCCCAGCCAGAACAAGCCAUAGCAGCUCACUGUCUGCCCCGUCCACCUGUCCGUCCAUUCCCUGGAGAAGACACAAGGAUAUCUCCAUGCUCUGUGGCCAGGUGCCUGCCAUCCUCUGGAACUCACAAAAGCUGUUUUUUUUUUCCUUUCCCACUCUUUGGGGACAGCAACCUUCAGGACUGCUGGCCUGGCCCGGCCCAUGCUGCUUCUGCCGGUGCUGGGCAGUCACUCUGCGAAGAGCCCUCCCCCAGCCAUGCCCUGGCAGGACACAGGCACUUUUCCGAUGGGCAAGCCCCAUGAAGGCAGGACGGGGGGCCCCCUGUGGGUGCUGCUGGGGCCUUGGGGCAGGAGUGAGGUGGAGGUGAUGGGGUUGGGCUGAGCUGGAAGGCGUGGGAAGGGCCCAGCUGCACCCAGGAGACAGCUUUGUUCUUCAGGCCUGUGGGGGAAGUUCCGGUGCCUUUGUUUUUUAUUCUUUUCUAAGGAAAAAAAUGAUAAAAAUCUCAAAGCUGAUUUUUCUUGUUAUAGAAAAACUAAUAUAAAAGCAUUAUCCCUGUC